CCGCGCGCCGCGCCCGCACCCAACGCAACACGAUCCCCUCGCCCCGCACGCCGUGGACACUUCGGUCCCCUCAUCCCGCACGAACCCUAGGAGAGAGAGAUAGGAAGAUGAGAGGGAGAGAAAGGGGAGAGGAGAGGAGAGGGAGGUCCGGCAGCGGACGGGAGAGGGUGACCGGCCGGCGUCGGCCUACACCGGCGAGGCGUCGGCCUGCGCCCCUCCUCGCGCACGAACCCUAGCUGAGAGACAAAAUGAGGGGGAGAGAGAGAAGGAGGGAGAAAGAGAGAGGAAAGAGGAAAGGGAGGUGCGGCAGCUGAAAUGAGAGAGGGUCAUCGGCCGGUGCCACAAAGGACGGGCCCAACCUGGACGCGACUUGGAGGUUGGCGGCGGCUCGAUCCACUCCUGGAUCGGGAGCUGCGACGAGGCUGGGGCUCGGGCGCGUUGUACGGGAGGCUGCACUCCGCCUCUUCCUCAUGGUGCGGCGGACGACGGCUCUUGCGGUCGUGCGGCUGAAGGCGGCCUUGGUUUGCUGCUUCGUUAGCUCUUCUUCUUCACUUCCUUAAUUCCCAGGACAACCAUUUUGUUGCUUCCUGUACAAAUAGAGUGUGUUAGACUUUCUCUUUGUUUGUCUCAUCCCCUUCUUAAGUGACUGGUUCCUGCACGGUUAUUGGCUUCUCCAAUGGAUCAUGUAGGUAGAAACUAAAAAGAACUGGAUAAUUUCUUUUUCCCUUCUUUUAAUUUCAAUAGGAUUCCCGAGUUCAGAAUUGACAAUUCAUAUCAGUAUUCGGUACAGAGCAGAUCAAUUGAUUUUCAUAAAAACGCAUAUUAGAAUUAUCAUUGGAUUGGUUUUCAAGUGCCUUUAUUAGACAUAUAGUGCAGAGGGAGUAAAUUAGUUUCACAGAAUGUUUCCUUGGAUUUUAGUUGCACUUCAUUCUGUUGUUUCGGUCUUUGUACAUUCAGAUGCUUUUUAAUUCAAAAGGAAACAACUCACAGAGGUUAUGUACGGGAGGCUACACUCUGCCUCUUCCUCGUGGUGCGGCGGAUGGCGGCUCUUGCGGUCGUGUGCUGACGACGGCCUCAGCGGGUGGGCGGCCAGUGGCGGUGCCAGGGGUUAGCUGUGUAGGCAACUGACUACACAACAUUUUGGCAUGCAUUAGUAGACAUCAAGCAAAAACCAGUUUUCACACAAGCAUAAGUAUUUGACAUCACAACUUUAAAUUGACAUCACAACGUUGAACUCUUGGCUUCGCCACUGUGGGCGACUACACUUGCAGCUGGCGCUCUACCCAUGGAUUCCGGCAUUAGCUCGAAACGCUCAGGACAAAUUAGGUCUCGGCCAAUGGUGGAGAAGACGGAGUACAGGGAUGAGCCGCUCGAGCACUGUUUGAUGGGAUGUUCGCGCGCAAGAUGCAGAAGUUCGCCAGAAGGAAGAAGAGCUGGGCGUCGAGGAGGAGAAGAAGGUGGUAUGCGAGGUGCUUGCAGGCCCAGCAGCAGGAGGCCGUCCUUGAGGUGCUCCUGUGGAUGGUCCAUUCCGGCGCUGGGCCUACGUGUUCAAUGCUGCCCUCACCAUCCCCUUCUUCCAUUGGCUCAUCGGCCCGUCAGAGUUCAGAGAUCUAAUACUCCGCACUGCCUCCCGUCCAUUUUCAUAUAUAUAUAUAUAUAUAUAUAUAUAUAUAUAUAGGUUUAUCAUCACCCCAUAGAUCAUGUGUUGUUGAUUGACCAGGUUAUUGAGGUGGAGGUCAACGGGGUGAGGCAGAGAAGUGGAGUGCUCAUAAAGAAACGAAGGAGCAACUGUUGCUAUUGGGACUGGUGCUUGUGCAGUUGUUGCAGCUGUUCUUGAGGGCCGAGCUGAACAUAUUUGAAAAAGGAUAUUCUGACACCUAAUAAGGAUCAAGAAAACAACAGAGAUGCUAAGAGGCAACCUUUUGGGGUUAAGGAUAUAAACAACAACAGGGCUUAUGAGACCGAAGAGAGCUCAAGUGGUGUCUUUUGAUUCUUGAAGGCCUGCACUUUCCUGGUGGAGUAGCAACAAAAUAAUUCAGAGGCUUUAAAGCUAAUGCACUUCACGUAGUUAGGAUCAAUUCUUUGUUUCGGUUUGAAAUACUCCCCAGUUCCUCCUAUUUGAUUGAUUCAUCUGAUGGACAUUUUGUCAGGCAAAUAUUAGGCAAAGGAUAUGUACCUUUUUUUAAUAUAGAAGGGUCUAAUUCUUAUCGUGCGUACUUGCUCAAAUAAAAGAUUAUUGAAAAUAUGUAUAUUUUCAACCCGAUGUGGUUUUGAAUUA